GCUGGGCAUAAGGAGAGGCAUCCAAUAAAUCAUUUGUAAAGGCAUAUAGCUGGAAGGGAGUUGAGAGAGAAACUCAUUUUACCAGGGAGAAGAUGGAAUGAGGCUGGGAAUUGGAGAGAGCUAAUAGCAUCAUCUUUCCUGCUGUUUGGGUGUGACCACAGAGGCAGCCACGGUUUCUGUUUUCACUCAACCUCCCUGCUGAAUCUUGCCAUCCUGCAUCAUCGAGUGGCACUACAACCACCCACAGCCAAGUGAGAGAACCAUUUCCUCUUCUUCAAAACUUUUAUAUGUAUGGCCUUUGUUCUCCUUCUCAGCCAGUUCCCAGCUAAAGUUGAAUUCCCAGUUUGGAAGUGAACACGUGGAUAUAUGAUUUAAUACAUUCUUGUUGGUAGAACUGGAAGUCUUUCUUCAGAAAUACACAGCUGUGGCUCAGACCCAAGAUCAUGGUUUAACAGCAGAGAAUAGUAGGGACCAAAAGAAAAACAAUACUAUACAGUUUUAAGGUUCAGCGAUCCCAAACUCAGACGACUGUCGCCACAGCCGGGCAAGUUAAGGCCACUCUCUGCAACAGCUGGGUUUCCGUAAAUAUCACGGAGCCUCUUACUCAUCAGUGGCAUUGUGUCUCUUGUGUUGGUUUCACAAGACUGCCUGCCUCUUGGCACCAUUUCAUUGUGUGAAUAUUUCCAUUGAAGAUUUCCCCUUCUGGCAGCUGCCAAGGCAGUCAUGCCCUGGUGUGCUUGGCGGUGUCCUUACAAGGGGAUCAGGCCACUGAGAACGUGACACCUGCAAAUAGCCAGACGAAGCAAAACGUCCCAGGGCAUGGCUGCAAAGAAAGAAAUUAAAUAUGUUGCAUGCUGCAGGUGUAGCCAGGUGACAGAAGUCCAUCUGGAUGUAAUCUUCCUGAGAAGCAGUCAGAGAUCCAAGAAGUGGCAGACGCACAGAUGUAGAAAUUCUCAUCCCGUGUCAGUGAGAUUGCGAAGUUUGGAUUCUCCGUAGAGCUCCACACUUGGGAUAGUCACCCACCCAGCCAAUAAUAACAUCUUUUCAGGUCCGUGAACGUCGCUACACCUUCCUGGGCUCGAAAGAGCCAAGCAAUCUAAUCACAUGCUAGUCUCUGGGAGAUGGAUAAUGAGAAAAGUCAGAGGUGCUCUGUCUUCAUCCUGGUGACCUCUACUGGACAGCUUAAUUAAAAUGUUAGGGAGGGUGGGAGGGAGGGAGACGCAAGAGGGAAGAGAUAUGGGAACAUAUGUAUAUAUAUAUAACUGAUUCAUUUUGUUGUAAAGCAGAAACUAACACACCAUUGUAAAGCAAUUAUACUCCAAUAAAGAUGUUAAAAAGGGCUUCCCUGGUGGCGCAGUGGUUGAGAGUCUGCCUGACGAUGCAGGGGACACGGGUUCGUGCCCCGGUCCGGGAAGAUCCCAUAUGCCGCGGAGCGGCUAGGCCCGUGAGCCAUGGCCGCUGAGCCUACGCGUCUGGAGCCUGUGCUCCGCAACGGGAGAGGCCACAACAGUGAGAGGCCCGCGUACCGAAAAAAAAAAAAAAAAAAAAAAAAAAAAAAAAAAAAGAUGUUAAAAAAAAAAAAGAA